AGAUGAUUUUAUAAUUUUUUGAACUAGAUAUCACAUUAUUAAGUGCAACUUCUGUGAAUGAGACACCUAGAGUGACUGAUGAGAUGCUCCAGGCUGAAGUUCACGGUGUCAGUGGCAGCAUUUGAGAAAAACUGAAGUUUCUCGAAUGGGAAAUUGUACGAUGCUUUGUACAACUAACAAUAAAUGAAUCCGAAGAGAA